CUCAGCUUUUAUCAAAAUCUGGUAAGCCAACGUUUAUGUGUUUUCAUGUGAUUUCUUCAUGUCAAGAGGUUUCAGUGAAUUACCUCAAGUUACUGUUAAUGGAGUGGUACUGGAACUGGAGGAUGAAGAUCUUCAGAAUGCAAUAGUUAAUGAGUUCAGCAUCAAACAUCAGAAAUACAGCAACUAGUUUAUAGAGUAAGUGAU
rnacentral:lncRNA from 1 species